rnacentral:lncRNA from 1 species
UUCCAAGCCAGCGAUCGAACGGAGCUCCAGGAGGCUUGGUGCGGCUGCGAGGCAAAAGACGUUGCCUUUACGCCACCCAGAGCCCUUUCCUCUGAUCCUUCUCCAAAUACCCCAUGGCAGAGGAGCGAUCAGAGAAGUCAGCAAUGGCACCCGGCCCUUACCCCCAUCGUUGAUCCCCACUGGAGACCACACCCUCUCAAAUGCCCCCACUUCAGCGCCUUCCCAAGGCCUUCGCCCGUUUUUUUUUUUUUUUGGGCAUAAGUGGCGGACAAAGGCACCCUUCUCCCUGUCACUCUCACCGCCGACCAUCUCUAAAAUGCUAAAGAAGAGGAGGGAGAAAGAGGCAAGGGUUUUAGGAAACGAAGGGAAGAGGAGGGGGAGGAGGAGGCCUUGGACGGUGUGGAAGGGUUGGAGGUGCUUCUCCUU